UUGCUUCUGAUUUGCUUAUUGCACCACAUGUGUUUUUCUUUGAAACAAACUUGCUUUGGCGGUGGGCCCAGCCUGCCGCCAGAGGUCUAAACUUACAACCAAUUUUUUAUCAACUUGUCACACCAGAUUAUUACUAAUAGUCAAAACUUUCAACAACGGAUCUCUUGGUUCUCGCAUCGAUGAAGAACGCAGCGAAAUGCGAUACGUAAUAUGAAUUGCAGAUAUUCGUGAAUCAUCGAAUCUUUGAACGCACAUUGCGCCCUCUGGUAUUCCGGAGGGCAUGCCUGUUUGAGCGUCGUUUCUCCCUCAAACCGCUGGGUUUGGUGUUGAGCAAUACGACUUGGGUUUGCUUGAAAGACGGUAGUGGUAAGGCGGGAUCGCUUUGACAAUGGCUUAGGUCUAACCAAAAACAUUGCUUGCGGCGGUAACGUCCACCACGUAUAUCUUCAAACUUUGACCUCAAAUCAGGUAGGACUACCCGCUGAACUUAAGCAUAUCAAUAAGCGGAGGAA
rnacentral:rRNA from 1 species